rnacentral:misc_RNA from 1 species
UCAUGCAAAUCCACAAUUAUGUUUCUUUGCAAGAAAGUGGCAUCACAACUGUUUAUCAACCGAGCAUAAGAGAUUAGCGCAACAAGAGUUCAAGAGGUACCGUUGAGCUUCAUACAAAAAGUUGGUCAUAAAUCAAAGCCAUGAAAUUGACAACUGUAUUCGUUUUACAUUUAAAAACAUUGUUGCUAUAAAAAUGUUGUUGUUCAACUAGAAGCCUUCAAGAGUAUAUCAGCAUCGAAAUGAAGAGGAAAUCCAAUCCCCGCAGAGGUAACCAGCUGCAACAAUCUCACAAAGAUUGGGAAGUGAAAGCAAAAGGUAAGCAACCGCAUAAAGUGUCAUAGCAUGUCCCAUUACCAAAACACUCGUGGCAUUUCCAUGGGUCCAAAAACCUCAGUUAUAAGUAAACAAGCGACUGGGUGACAUUGACAAGGACCCCAUCAUGACAAUUAGUUAUCUCGAAUCGACCAUUCUGCAAUCAUGCUUCUUGCGACGACAUCUGUAAUGGGCCUUUUGAUCCAAAAAUGUGCUCUCGCCAACCAUCUCCAUUUUAGAAUCUAUACCUCCUCCAAAAUGGUUGCCCCAAAACGGCAACCUUGCAUCUUCUUCCUCCUCAUCAAGCUCAUCCUCAUACCCGAACUCCGCAUCCCCUCUAUAUCCCGGCUCGCUCCCAUAACCAGACUCGUUCCCUUGAGCAUCGAAAUUCCCGAACUGCCCAAACCCAACACCCAAAUUCUCUUUCUCCUCCCUCUCCCUCCUCGAUGAAUUCUUCGCUUCGCUCACAUCCGACGCCCAAUUGGCGUCCCCAUUCACGAAAAGCUCCCCGCUAGAAUCAGUCCCUACAGCUAACGGGAAAUCCGAGCAGGUCCCGUGAGCAGCAGACGCCCCAACUGAGCAACACCGUUGAGUUCCACUCCGAUCGGAGCUCCGACCAGACACCGACCGGGACCCAUUCCGCCGCCGUUUACGAGCGAUCAACCUUAAGCUACCUCGCUUGAAGGGACUUGCCACAAUACCAGUGGGUUUGUCGUCGUCGAUGAGUGAGAGCUUAGAGAUGUCGAUUGAAUCAA